rnacentral:rRNA from 1 species
CAUGCAAGUCGAACGAGUUCUGAUUAUUGAAAGGUGCUUGCAUCUUGAUUUAAUUUUGAACGAGUGGCGGACGGGUGAGUAACACGUGGGUAACCUGCCCUUAAGUGGGGGAUAACAUUUGGAAACAGAUGCUAAUACCGCAUAAAUCCAAGAACCGCAUGGUUCUUGGCUGAAAGAUGGCGUAAGCUAUCGCUUUUGGAUGGACCCGCGGCGUAUUAGCUAGUUGGUGAGGUAACGGCUCACCAAGGCAAUGAUACGUAGCCGAACUGAGAGGUUGAUCGGCCACAUUGGGACUGAGACACGGCCCAAACUCCUACGGGAGGCAGCAGUAGGGAAUCUUCCACAAUGGACGCAAGUCUGAUGGAGCAACGCCGCGUGAGUGAAGAAGGCUUUCGGGUCGUAAAACUCUGUUGUUGGAGAAAAAUGGUCGGCAAAGUAACUGUUGUCGGCGUGACGGUAUCCAACCAGAAAGCCACGGCUAACUACGUGCCAGCAGCCGCGGUAAUACGUAGGUGGCAAGCGUUAUCCGGAUUUAUUGGGCGUAAAGCGAGCGCAGGCGGUUUUUUAAGUCUGAUGUGAAAGCCCUCGGCUUAACCGAGGAAGUGCAUCGGAAACUGGGAAACUUGAGUGCAGAAGAGGACAGUGGAACUCCAUGUGUAGCGGUGAAAUGCGUAGAUAUAUGGAAGAACACCAGUGGCGAAGGCGGCUGUCUGGUCUGUAACUGACGCUGAGGCUCGAAAGCAUGGGUAGCGAACAGGAUUAGAUACCCUGGUAGUCCAUGCCGUAAACGAUGAAUGCUAGGUGUUGGAGGGUUUCCGCCCUUCAGUGCCGCAGCUAACGCA